GAGUUUGAUCCUGGCUCAGAACGUACGCUGGCGGCACGCCUAAUACAUGCAAGUCGAACGAAGUAGCAAUACUUAGUGGCAGACGGGUGAGUAACAUGUGGGUAUCUUCCCUUUGGUGAGGAAUAACACGAGGAAACUUGUGCUAAUACCUCAUAAGUCUUUACGGAGAAAGCUUUAUGCGCCAUUGGAUGAGCCCGCACUUGAUUAGUUUGUUGGUGGGGUAAUGGCCUACCAAGACUGUGAUCAAUAGCUGAUUUGAGAGGAUGAUCAGCCACAUUGGGACUGAGACACGGCCCAAACUCCUACGGGAGGCAGCAGUAGGGAAUCUUGCACAAUGGAGGAAACUCUGAUGCAGCGAUGCCGCGUGAGUGAAGAAGGCCUUUGGGUUGUAAAGCUCUUUCGUCGGGGAAGAAAAUGACUGUACCCGAAUAAGAAGGUCCGGCUAACUUCGUGCCAGCAGCCGCGGUAAUACGAAGGGACCUAGCGUAGUUCGGAAUUACUGGGCUUAAAGAGUUCGUAGGUGGUUAAAAUAGUUGGUGGUGAAAUCCCAGAGCUUAACUCUGGAACUGCCAUCAAAACUUUUUAGCUAGAGUAUGAUAGAGGAAAGUAGAAUUUCUAGUGUAGAGGUGAAAUUCGUAGAUAUUAGAAAGAAUACCAAUUGCGAAGGCAGCUUUCUGGAUCAUUACUGACACUGAGGAACGAAAGCAUGGGUAGCGAAGAGGAUUAGAUACCCUCGUAGUCCAUGCCGUAAACGAUGUGUGUUAGACGUUGGAAAUUUAUUUUUCAGUGUCGCAGCGAAAGCGAUAAACACACCGCCUGGGGAGUACGACCGCAAGGUUAAAACUCAAAUGAAUUGACGGGGACCCGCACAAGUAGUGGAGCAUGUGGUUUAAUUCGAAGAUACGCGCAGAACCUUACCAACACUUGACAUGUUCGUCGCGACUCUAAGAGAUUAGAGUUUUCGGUUCGGCCGGACGAAACACAGGUGCUGCAUGGCUGUCGUCAGCUCGUGUCGUGAGAUGUUGGGUUAAGUCCCGCAACGAGCGCAACCCUCACUUUUAGUUGCCAUCAUUAAGUUGGGCACUCUGAAAGAACUGCCAGUGAUAAGCUGGAGGAAGGUGGGGAUGACGUCAAGUCCUCAUGGCCCUUACGUGUUGGGCUACACACGUGCUACAAUGGUAUCUACAACAGGAAGCAAAACAGCGAUGUUAAGCAAAUCCCGAAAAGAUACCUCAGUUCGGAUUGCACUCUGCAACUCGAGUGCAUGAAGCUGGAAUUACUAGUAAUCGUGGAUCAGCGUGCCACGGUGAAUACGUUCCCGGGUCUUGUACACACCGCCCGUCACACCAUGGGAGUUGGUUCUACCUUAAGGCAAAGCUUAAAACCUUUGACCACGGUAUAGUCAGCGACUGGGGUGAAGUCGUAACAAGGUAACC
rnacentral:rRNA from 1 species